rnacentral:snRNA from 2 species
AUACCUUUCUCGGCCUUUUGGCUAAGAUCAAGUGUAGUAUCUGUUCUUAUCAGUUUAAUAUCUGAUAUGUGAGGCACCGCCUCACAAAUGAUAUUAAAUUUAUUUUUUAUGGGGGAGGAUCUUGAUGAUGGCUUGCCAUUUGGGUCCUCAAGCGUCGCUCGAGCGUUGCACUACAGCUUGAGCUUGGCGCGCCCCAA